GGGGAUGUAGGCAAAUUGGCUAAGCCGCUUGACCUUCAAUCAAGAGAUGUGCGAGUUCAAGUCUCGUCAUCCCCGCCA
rnacentral:tRNA from 1 species